rnacentral:lncRNA from 1 species
CGACGUCCUUGGCUUAGUCUCCCGAGGAGUAGCAAUUUGGGGCACUAUGUGUAAAGCAUGAGGUAAAAACACAGGUAUCACAUUUAUUUCAGGCCUGACAAACAAGGGCUUGCAUAUGCAGAGGCAGCGAAGCAUGGAAAGGCACAGCCUCCACUCUCAAGGUACAGACCUCCGUGAAAAGAAAACUCCCCAAAGGGCCUUCUCCAGCCUUUCAUUUUACAAAAAGUAGUUUAUGAGAAUGGAGACAUGACAAGGAAAGAAGACACUUUAGAUUAAGUGAGUUGAUGUAUUUAAAUAUUAGGGGGAAGAGGAACUCAGUUAUCAAGGGGUAAAUGCAGCAACACCAAGUCUUAUCAAGAGAAACCAAGCCCCAUUUAGUGUUUCUCAAAUCCUCGUUUCUUUUGAGGUUUAAUGCACAACCCAAGAGAACACCACUUUCUAAUAACCUGAACAAAUAAAAAAACAAGUGGAGUAGAGGAAAAAGUGUGCAUAUUAUGCACCUCGUUUCUAAAACAACAGUGAAUCGUGCACUAGAUUUAGCAGGUUAAUUAAGGAGUAUGUUAGCAAUGAAGCGAAAGCUGGCAUACUCCCAACUCUGGCUGAUACUAGCCAAGACAUAGACGUACCUGAUGUUUCUCCAAUACAACCAAGAUGUGCCACCUAUUCCAGAGAAAACUCAUUAUCUAUAACAGGCUUCAAGUCAGACUGCAGGCCAAAAUGUUGCCAAUGUUUUCAGAUCAAGUAAUAGGCCUCUGAAAAGCUGAGUAAGCUGUUUGGCUGACGGAACAGUUAAAAUUGAAGGGACAGUUCAACGGACUGACACUGGUUAAGAGAAUCCUUUAGUCAAGUUCAUGACAUGUUCUUCCUCAAUCCUGCACCUUUAAAUCAAGUUGGCCCUCCCCUGGAGGAAGUGGCUGAUGGCCAGUUAUCAUGAGACGUACAGGUAACCCGUUUGCUGCAACUGUUGUAGCCCUGAGCACCUGUGCAGGCCCACCAAGCUUUGGGAACACCAGAGCAAAGUGCAGCAGGAAGGAGACCCAAUUCGGUACAACAGACAACAAAUGCUGUUUGCAGCACCUGCAAAACUCAUUUAUUUCAACAUGA